GACGAACUGUUCUAACGUUAUUCGGAAUCACUGGGCUUAAAGGGCGUGUAGGCUGUUUGUUAAGCGGGGUCUGAAAUCCCUCGGCUCAACCGAGGAACUGGGCUUCGAACUGGCAGACUAGAGUGAAGUAGGGGUAAGCGGAACUUGCGGUGGAGCGGUGAAAUGCUUUGAUAUCGCAAGGAACACCGGCGGCGAAGGCGGCUUACUGGGCUUCAACUGACGCUUAAGCGCGAAAGCUAGGGUAGCGAACGGGAUUAGAUACCCUGGUAGUCCCUGAGCGGGCU
rnacentral:rRNA from 1 species